AUGGAAACUCUACGUGACAUGGCUCUGCCACCAGGAUUUGGAUUCCAUCCUAAGGACACUGAACUCGUUGCUCACUAUCUGAAAAAGAAAAUACUUGGUCAGAAAAUUGAAUAUGACAUUAUACCAGAGGUGGAUAUAUACAAGCAUGAACCAUGGGAUUUACCUGCGAAGUGCAAUGUUCCAACACAGGAUAACAAGUGGCAUUUCUUUGCUGCUCGAGACAGAAAGUAUCCUAAUGGUGCUCGGUCAAAUAGGGCAACGGUUGCUGGGUAUUGGAAGUCUACUGGAAAAGACCGGGCCAUUAAGGUGGAUAAGAGGACCAUAGGAACAAAGAAAACUUUAGUUUUUCAUGAAGGUCGGCCUCCCACUGGAAAACGUACUGAGUGGAUUAUGCAUGAAUACUACAUAGAUGAGAACGAAUGUCAAUCCUGCCCUGAUAUGAAGGAUGCCUUUGUUCUAUGUAAAGUUACUAAAAGAAUUGACUGGACAUCAGAGAAUGGUAACGAGGUGGGCAAUAAUAACCCUCAGCCACAACAAGCAAAUGUUGCUGCUAUUUUAGCUGUCAGUGUUGAACAGCCAGAUACUGCUGCAUCAUCAAUUAUUGGUGAUGAACUUCCAAGUGAUGCUGCUACCGUAGCUAUCCCUGCUCACAUGACUCCAGAUGGGAAUGAUGACCUUAAAGAAUGGCUGGAAGAACUGCUUGAUACCUCCUUUGAUCCUUCUGCUAACACUGCAGUGGAUUCUGUUUCUGCUCAACUGUCUCCGGAUGAACAAAAUGCUGAAUCAUUGAACAUUGGUGCUAUGGCUCCGAAGGUGGAACUGGACUAUGCCAGUCCUAACCAGACUGUGGUAGACGAUAUAGACUUCCUGUUGCCAGAUGAUAUUCACUCCAUGUUGUAUCCUGGUAGUGAUGACUUCACUUCAUGGCAGCAAACAUACUUUACGGCGGCGGAUCCCUUCAGUCUGUCAAACAACUUCAUGGAUGAAUUUCAGAUGAAAGAGCUACAGUUACCUCUGGAAAAUAAUGGGCCUAAUCUGUAUGAACCUGCUGAUACUGGAAUUGUAGUGCGAACACGUCAUGGGGGAACAUCUGCAGCUAGCGUUCCACCAUACAAGGCUCGACUUCAGCAAAGUCUUGGCAGGAUGGUUACGAGCAGCUCUGAAUCCAUCAACCAGACUAUCAAGUUCGUUGACAAUAACGGUCAUCUUGAUCUCAUGACUAAUGUGAAACACCAGAAGAAACAUGUGCGUGAUAUUACUUGUGCCAGGCAGUCUGAUGCAGAGAAGUGUGGAAGUCACAACAACCAAGGAUUUUUCAGGGGCGUCCAAAGGGCAUUUAGAGGCUGUUCAGCAACAGGACUCAAUAUACUCGUUGCUCUUUGCAUGGUUGGAGUUGCUGCAGCAAUACUGCACCAUGGACGUCACCGUGGCGGGAUCAGAUUGUAG
rnacentral:rRNA from 1 species